GCGCCUGUGGCCCAAUGGAUAGGGCACCAGCCUCCGGAGCUGGGUGUGCAGGUUCGAUUCCCGCCAGGCGCACCA
rnacentral:tRNA from 1 species